GGGGUCUACGUCGCAUCAGGUAGUUGGGGAGGUAACGGCUCACCAAGCCAGCGACGCGUAGCCGGCCUGAGAGGGUGACCGGCCACAUCGGGACUGAGACACUGCCCGGACUCCUACGGGAGGCUGCAGUUCGGAAUAUUCCGCAAUGGACGAAAGUCUGACGGAGCGACGCCGCGUGCGGGAUGAAGGCCUUCGGGUUGUAAACCGCUGUCACUUGUUAGGAAAUCCAUCGGGGUUAAUAGCUCCGGUGGUUGACAAAGGCGAGAGAGGAAGCACCGGCUAAUUCCGUGCCAGCAGCCGCGGUAAUACCGGAAGGUGCAAACGUUGUUCGGUGUCACUGGGCAUAAAGGGCGCGUAGGUGGCUGAGCAUGUCGGGGGUGAAAGCCCCUCGCUUACCGAGGGGAAUUGCCUCCGAAAACUGCUUAGCUUGAGAGCCGGAAGGGUGGCCGGACGUUGCAUGUUAACGGUGAAAUGUGUAGAUAUGCAACGGAAACGCCGGAGGUUGAGACCGGGCCACUGGACGGAUUCUGACACUGAGGCGCGAAAGCCGUGAGGAACGAACCAGGAUUAAAUACCCCUGGUUAUUCCACGCCAGUAACGAUGGGCACAACGUAGGGGAGGUCCUACAAGCUUCCCUGCCAAGACAAUUACUUUAAGUGCCCAGCCUGGGGAAGUAUGGUCGCAAGAGUAAACCUCAAAAGGAUUGACAGGGGGCUCACAACAAGCGGUGGAGGAUGCUGCUUAAUUCGAAGCAACGCGUAGAACCUUACCCGGGCUUGAACUGCUCGGAUGCCCCAUCCGAAAGGAGUAGGGGCUGCCUUCGGGUGAAACGUGUAGUAGGUGUUGCAUGGCUGUCGUCAGCUCGUGUCGUGAGAUGUCGGGUUAAGUCCCUUUUACGAGCGAAACCCUUGUCGCUAGUUGCCAGCAGUUCGGCUGGGCACUCUAACGAGACUGCCGGUGUCAAACCGGAGUAAGGUGGGGACUACGUCAAGUCAUCAUGGCCCUUACGUCCGGGGCUGCAAGCGUCCUACAAUGGUCGGUACAAUGGGAAGCGAGAUCGCGUAGUAUGGAGCAAAUCCCUAAAAGCCGGCCUCAGUUCGGAUUGUGGGCUGCAAUUCGCCCACAUGAAGUCGGAAUCGCUAGUAAUCGCGCAACAGCAUGGCGCGGUGAAUAUGUUCCUGAGCCUUGUACACACCGCCCG
rnacentral:rRNA from 1 species